GUGGAAUUUAAGACUCCAACAAACUAGGUUUAAUUGAGCAUUAGAUUUAAAAUUACUUGCUAUACAUGGUUUCCUAGAAGCGUAUAAUGAUUGUGUUGUAUGUUGAUGAAUUGUCCAGCAAAUAAUCAGUUUUCAAGUCAAGAACUUAAAAUGUGCCAACUGGAACAAUUUCUAAGUCACAACUGAAUGUAGAGAAUUGUAUUGACUUUGUCCCAUUUUAAAAAAGUUUUUGAGCUUUGACUUAAUCCAACUCUCUUGAAUGACUAAGAAGAUAAAUUAAUUGAAAAUACUGAAAAUUGGUCUUCUUUUAUUGGAUUGCCAAACCACUAUGCUUGCGUGUGUAAAAUUUGUGUGUGUGUGUGCACAAUGUGAAAAGAGCUUCAAAUCUGGGUGACAUUAGUUUUUUAUUAGAAUUCUUGUAUAAUAAAUAAAGGACUUGCAGUGUUUCCUAAGGGAGAGAAUAUAUGUAGAGCAGGAUGCAGCAAAGAUCAAUGCUUUUUUAAGUGCAAGAAUUGUCAUACCAACAAGCUCUUUGCGUCUACUCUGUUUUCUGAAAUUUGUAAUUUCCUUUACUGGUGGCAUUUUGUUUGUCUAGUAUCCAAAGUAAAUUGUUUUGUGUAUUUAUUAUGCAAUUGAUGUGUGUAUUUGUAGUGGACUGCUACUGAUCCUACCACCCAAAACUCUGUAGCCUUCCCCCUGUUGAAAAAUAAAAGUAUAUUUGCUUGUGCUCACACUUUCUCACAUGCACAUUCAGACAGAAG
rnacentral:misc_RNA from 1 species